rnacentral:rRNA from 1 species
UCGCCUGUUUAACAAAAACAUGUCUUUAUUUUUUAUAUUUGAUGUAAAGUCGGGCCUGCACACUGUGAAAUAUGAAGAGCCGCGGUAUAUUGACCGUGCAAAGGUAGCAUAAUCAUUAGCCUUUUAAUUGGAGGAUAGAAUGAAAGGUUUGAUGUGAAAUUUAUUUUCUUAGGAUAAAAAAUAGAAAUUUAUAUUUUAGUUAAAAAGCUAAAAUGAAUAUAAGGGACGAGAAGACCCUAUAGAUUUUUAUUGAUUUUAUUAUUAAAGAUUAAGAUAAAAUAUUUUAAUAGUAAUAUUAAUUUAGUUGGGGUGACGGAAAGAAUAAUAAAACUCUUUUUUAACCUAACUUGAAUAAGAGGAUUAUUGAUCCAAUAAAGUGUUGAUUAUAAGAAUAAAAUACCUUAGGGAUAACAGCGUAAUUAUUUUUUGGAGUACGAAUCUACAAAAUAGAUUGCGACCUCGAUGUUGAAUUAAGAUAAAUUAUUGAUGUAGCAGUUAAUAUUUGUGGUCUUUCGAC